GCCACCGGACUGGCAGGAUUUUGUGGGUAUCAUCACAUUGCUCAUAAUCAACUCAACAAUUAGUUUUAUCGAGGAGAACAAUGCUGGCAAUGCAGCAGCUGCACUGAUGGCUCGACUUGCUCCAAAAGCCAAGGUUCUUCGAGAUGGAAAAUGGGACGAGGAAGAUGCUUCUGUUCUUGUGCCUGGGGACAUAAUCAGUAUUAAACUGGGAGAUAUCAUUCCAGCUGAUGCUCGUCUUCUAGAGGGUGAUCCGUUGAAGGUUGAUCAGUCUGCCCUUACUGGAGAAUCACUUCCAGUG
rnacentral:misc_RNA from 1 species